rnacentral:ncRNA from 2 species
GGCAUUCUAAAUAUAUUCACUCAUAUAAUCGCGAGAAUAGGGCUCGCAAGUUUCUACCGGUUUACCGUAAAUAAGCCGACUAUGAGCAGCAAAAAUAUUGAU